rnacentral:lncRNA from 1 species
CUCGUAUGGUCAUGCUCAGUACAAGUUAUUUUCUAACGAUCCAUACUUAUUGCUCAUGCUCUACACUGUAGAUCAGAGACUCAUCUAUCUCGAAGGAAGCGAUCUGUACGUCGGUCUAUCCAGAUAGAUCAUCAUUCUCAUGAUGAUACUGUGACUAGGAGUAUUUGAAAAUUUUAUACUUGUCUCUAAUUCUCAAUACUUUGAGAAUAUGUAUUGAAGUAUUAAUUCCAUGGAUGAUUGAAAGGCACAUUACUC